rnacentral:rRNA from 1 species
GACGAACGCUGGCGGCGUGCUUAACACAUGCAAGUCGAACGGAAAGGCCCUGCUUUUGUGGGGUGCUCGAGUGGCGAACGGGUGAGUAACACGUGAGUAACCUGCCCUUGACUUUGGGAUAACUUCAGGAAACUGGGGCUAAUACCGGAUAGGAGCUCCUGCUGCAUGGUGGGGGUUGGAAAGUUUCGGCGGUUGGGGAUGGACUCGCGGCUGAUGAGCUAGUUGGUUGGGGAGUGGCUGACCAAGGCUUUGGCGGGUAGCCGGCCUGAGAGGGUGACCGGCCACAUUGGGCCUGCGAUACGGCCCAGACUCCUACGGGGGGCAGAAGUGGGGAAUAUUGCCCAAUGGGCGGAAGCCUGAUGCAGCAACGCCGCGUGCGGGAUGACGGCCUUCGGGUUGUAAACCGCUUUCGCCUGUGACGAAGCGUGAGUGACGGUAAUGGGUAAAGAAGCACCGGCUAACUACGUG